AUUCCAGCUCCAAUAGCGUAUAUUAAUGUUGUUGCAGUUAAAAAGCUCGUAGUUGGAUUUCUGGUGGGAGCGGCCGGUCCGCCGCAAGGUGUGUACUUGGUUGUCUCCUGUCAUCCUUGUGGGAACUGCUCUGGCAUUAAGUUGUCGGGGUUAGGGAACACAUCGUUUACUGUGAAAAAAUUAGAGUGUUUAAAGCAGGCUUAUGCCGUUGAAUACAUUAGCAUGGAAUAAUAAGAUAGGACUUUGGCGUCUAUUUUGUUGGUUUGCACACCAAAGUAAUGAUUAAUAGGGAUAGUUGGGGGUAUUCGUAUUUAAUUGUCAGAGGUGAAAUUCUUGGAUUUAUGAAAGACGAACUUCUGCGAAAGCAUUUACCAAAGAUGUUUUCAUCA
rnacentral:rRNA from 1 species